AGGAAGUGUGGACCUGUGGGGGUCACGUGGCCAAUUCUCAGUCUCUCUAGUUCUUCCCUAAGUGAAAUUUGUGCCUGAAUUUAUUCGUCCAGAUGAAGUUCAUUGAAUAUGAUUUUAAGGAGCAAGGAAUGCUUUACAGGAGUUGGAGAUUGCAAUUUUAAAGCAGAAGGUGAGGUAUUAAGACAGAUUUGUGCUUCCCCCAGACUACUUCAUUACCGAAAGACAUCAUAAAAGAAAAUUUAGCGAACACUUGGUAAUGGAAGACCACCACAGCCUCUAGAGGCUGGAGGACCUGGAAUUAAGCAGGGAAACCACAGCCUCGAAGCUGGUGGAAUAAAUUGCAAGAGGACUUCAGUUUGAACGUUUACUAUAUAUUGAAGCCAAUAAUACUGAGAAAUCCAAGACGACUACAACCUUAAGCCUGGAGAAUGUUAUUCUGGUGGUUAAUGUAAGACCACCACGGACUUGGUCCUGGAAUUAAGCAAGAAAAUCACAGCCUCGAAGCUAAAAUUCACAGUCUCGAAGUUACAGCAGUUCAUUGCAAGAGGACUUCGGUUUUGUACCCGGAAUUAAGCAAAAAAAUCACAGCCUCGAAGGUGGUGGAAUAAAUUGCAAGAGGACUUAGUUUCAACGUUUACUAUUAAAUAAUACAUUGAAGUCGGUAAUCCAGGGUCUCUCUGAGUUAAUCUACUCGUCUGGACCAAAGAAAUAUAUAUUCAAUACAAUUGAUUUUUAAUUUUUUUUUUUUGUCGGGUUAAGAAUUUGGUUGUUGUGGUGAUACUUCACCGAAUAACACUUAAUAAAACUGAAAAUAUUAACUAAAAAGUAGUAGUAAUCUGGAAAUUUUAAUGUCC